GUGAUAAUUAUAUUUCUACUUGAGGUAAGCCAAUAGCCAAAAGUUAUUCCAUGUGCUCUUUCCAUACACUUUGUUGCAUUCAGAAUCAAACGAACAAACAUAGCUGGAUUCACACUGUACGGGGUCUCUAUAGUUGAGCUAUCCUUUAAGUUGAUUUCUCCUUUUCUCAACUGUAUUAGAAGGAAGCUCCACCAAGAGAAUUGACGUUAACUUCUGUAUGAAGCUCAAUUGUAGAAGGAUGUCUUUUCUGAAUUAAUGGUUGCUUCGAGGGGCUUCAUUUGAUCUAGAUUUGAAUGAUUUUGACGCGCACUUGGAGGAGUAGAGUAACAAUAGUGAGAAGAUAGAAGAAAAUCAGAAGGAUAAUGGCGUGGCUGGAAAAGUGGAAUGAAGAUACUUGUUUAAAUGUUUGGUAUCGUCGAUUUACACCUUUUAUUUUUCCUUCACCAUGUUGCCUUACAGUUUGAAGAGUCAAUUACUACGUUCUUCCUCUACCCCUUUUCCUAUUUAAAAAAAGAAUGGUGUUUCGUGUCUCAAGGUUUUCUGGAGAGGCUUUGUUAGGGAAGUUAUCACUUUUCUAGCAAGGUGAAACUAUAGAAAUCUAUAAUUCUUUAUUGAUAAAGAGUAUGAAGAGAUAGUGGUCUGUGCUCUGGAAUAAAUUAAAGGGCUGCUGAUUUUUACAU